rnacentral:antisense_RNA from 1 species
GGGUUCCACUUGACUCUGCAUUCUCCUACUUCCCUGCCUGGUUACUCUCUGCCAUCAUAGUUUUUUGCUUCAACCUUCAAAUUUCCCUGCUGGGAAUAAAUUAAAUUGGCAGAAGCUCAGCCUAAGUGCCUGCAACAGAAUUUGUCCCAUAUCCAUACAACUUGCUCCUCCACAACAAAUGGGAGAAUCAUCCUCUUACCUCCAGCACCUGCCUCAAACAAAGUUUCUGAUCCAUCUACCAUGUAACUUUGACGCUGACCAAGAAUUACAGCUUCAAAGAAAUCAUUCGAGGAUCAUUAAUAUCUUGGUCAUGAAUAACUUUCAUGUGAAAGGCUCUGAAGCUAAUCUCAAGUGCAGUGAAUUCUGUUUCAUUACUGUAUUUCCAAAUAUUAGAGUUAUUUGGGUUGUAUAUAGGUCAGAUAAUUUACUUUUUUGUUUUCAACCUAAUAUAAAGCACUUCCAAACUUUCUGCCAUUUGCUAUUACUUUUCUCCCUCAGUGAGUGCCAAAUUAGCUCAAUUUUAGUUAAUUUGCAAGGUCUGACAAUCAAGGCUAUCCUCAGCAGCAAGCAGAAAAAUUUCUGAAUGACUAGAUACAAUUUCAAGGGACAAGAAAUUUCUCUGUCCCUGGCUCAUUGGCAAUGAGGUAUCACAGCCAGGGUUUAUUCUUCUGUGAUCAUGACAGUAUUUGAAGAACUCAACAAAAGAAUGUUAAUUCUGACAAUUUAUAA